rnacentral:rRNA from 1 species
UGACGGUACCUGACUAAGAAGCUCCGGCUAAAUACGUGCCAGCAGCCGCGGUAAUACGUAUGGAGCAAGCGUUAUCCGGAUUUACUGGGUGUAAAGGGAGCGUAGACGGAUGUGCAAGUCUGAUGUGAAAGGCUGCGGCUUAACUGCAGGACUGCAUUGGAAACUGUACAUCUGGAGUGCCGGAGAGGUAAGCGGAAUUCCUAGUGUAGCGGUGAAAUGCGUAGAUAUUAGGAGGAACACCAGUGGCGAAGGCGGCUUACUGGACGGUAACUGACGUUGAGGCUCGAAAGCGUGGGGAGCAAACAGGAUUAGAUACCCUG